UCAUCUCUCACCAAAACACCACCGCAAGCAAAAGUCCAACUUCCUCCUCGCCACUUACCAUCAUCACUCAACUCUUUCUCUGAAGUCAAGUGAUCUGAUGACUCUAAACUUGAUAAUUAAACAACCACGAUCUAUUAAUCUUUCACUUGUGAUUUUUCAGAGAUAAAAACCCUAGCCGUUUCUCCACCUUUACCUACUUUUUGCAAAAUGAUUUUCUUUCUUUAAUCUGAACUGAUUUCAAUUCGAUGUAAUUGAAUCUGUCUUUCGCUGAGGAUAAUCUUUUGUUUCAGACACCCCAAAUUUCAGAUAGGGCAUCUGUUUAGUUAAGGUUUACGGAUCUUGGUUAGAGGGAAAACUCUAGCUAAACUAGACUAGAAAACCAGCCUAGAGGUAGAGCUCACAUGAGGAAUCUAAUAACUGCCGGCUUGGAGCAAAGGAAGAACGCGUGAAACCAAACACAUAGUAAUGGUGGAAGGAUAAAAAGAUAGUUAUAUGGAUACUCUUAUGGAUCCGCUGUUUUUAAGGCUCCGCCGACCUCUGAAAGGGCAUUUGGAGUGUAUCCAAAGACGCAUUUCGUUAGAAAUAUCGACUCAAUGCUACAACAUCCUCCAAACGCAAAAUGUUGUUGGAGUAUUGGAUUGUUAUAGUGCAAGGGUUCAAGCAACGUGCAAUAGGAAACAUGGAUGAUCCAUAUCUAAUCCCUGGUAUGCAUCUGAUAAGAAGCAGUUGCAUGUAGGACUUGCUCGGAAACUUGUUCGAAGACCCUUUUUGAGGCGGGUGGUGUUUCCUGUAAAAUGGCGGAAAGCAUGUGGCUCCAUACUCAUCUUAUCCAAGAUUUGAUCUCCAUUUCUCGAACAAGUGUUCCUAAAUACCCAAGGCUGGUGUUGUGAAGUUGGAUACUUCGUUGUCGUUGAUGACUUAGAGCUCGACUAAUUUCAGUGAGACAAUGAAGUGGGUGUUGCUCUCUUUGCAACUGAUGGUAAUUAAUUUCCUCUAAUCCUGUAAGAACGUUGAAUUGGGAUUCAAGACUGCCCGAGAACCUGUUGAAGAUCUGUGAUAACCCUUGAAUACUUAGAAGUGUUAGCAUCGAAAAUCAUAGUGGGAGAAGAAACUUGGACAUUGUGGAUUUCAUUGUAGCAUCUGAUUAAUGUUUUUUUGAUUGUUGUUGUAGUAAUGAGGUUCAAACUCUCGGACUUGUGAAGAUUAAAUUUAAAGAUUUAAUAAAAUUAUAUACAAAAAUAUUAACAAAGUGGGCGAGAGGUAUGAGAAAACAACCAAGACA